AUUGAACGCUGGCGGCAGGCCUAACACAUGCAAGUCGAACGAGUGGCGGACGGGUGAGUAAUGUCUGGGAAACUGCCCGAUGGAGGGGGAUAACUACUGGAAACGGUAGCUAAUACCGCAUACCAUCGGAUGUGCCCAGAUGGGAUUAGCUAGUAGGUGGGGUAACGGCUCACCUAGUCGACGAUCCCUAGCUGGUCUGAGAGGAUGACCAGCCACACUGGAACUGAGACACGGUCCAGACUCCGACGGGAGGCAGCAGUGGGGAAUAGUGCACAAUGGGCGCAAGCCUGAUGCAGCCAUGCCGCGUGUAUGAAGAAGGCCUUCGGAUUGUAAAGUACUUUCAGCGGGGAGGCGUUACUCGCAGAAUAAGCACCGGCUAACUCCGUGCCAGCAGCCGCGGUAAUUC
rnacentral:rRNA from 1 species